rnacentral:rRNA from 1 species
CGUGAAGCCCCCCUCAAGAUGAGAUUUCCCAUAGCAUAAGCUAGUAAGACCCCUUGAAGAACACAAGGUUGAUAGGUCAGAGGUGUAAGUGUGGUAACACAUUUAGCUGACUGAUACUAAUAGGUCGAGGGCUUGACCAA